rnacentral:rRNA from 1 species
UAAGCGACUAAGCGUACACGGUGGAUGCCCUGGCAGUCAGAGGCGAUGAAGGACGUGCUAAUCUGCGAUAAGCGUCGGUAAGGUGAUAUGAACCGUUAUAACCGGCGAUUUCCGAAUGGGGAAACCCAGUGUGUUUCGACACACUAUCAUUAACUGAAUCCAUAGGUUAAUGAGGCGAACCGGGGGAACUGAAACAUCUAAGUACCCCGAGGAAAAGAAAUCAACCGAGAUUCCCCCAGUAGCGGCGAGCGAACGGGGAGCAGCCCAGAGCCUGAAUCAGUGUGUGUGUUAGUGGAAGCGUCUGGAAAGGCGCGCGAUACAGGGUGACAGCCCCGUACACAAAAAUGCACAUGCUGUGAGCUCGAUGAGUAGGGCGGGACACGUGGUAUCCUGUCUGAAUAUGGGGGGACCAUCCUCCAAGGCUAAAUACUCCUGACUGACCGAUAGUGAACCAGUACCGUGAGGGAAAGGCGAAAAGAACCCCGGCGAGGGGAGUGAAAAAGAACCUGAAACCGUGUACGUACAAGCAGUGGGAGCACGCUUAGGCGUGUGACUGCGUACCUUUUGUAUAAUGGGUCAGCGACUUAUAUUCUGUAGCAAGGUUAACCGAAUAGGGGAGCCGAAGGGAAACCGAGUCUUAACUGGGCGUUAAGUUGCAGGGUAUAGACCCGAAACCCGGUGAUCUAGCCAUGGGCAGGUUGAAGGUUGGGUAACACUAACUGGAGGACCGAACCGACUAAUGUUGAAAAAUUAGCGGAUGACUUGUGGCUGGGGGUGAAAGGCCAAUCAAACCGGGAGAUAGCUGGUUCUCCCCGAAAGCUAUUUAGGUAGCGCCUCGUGAAUUCAUCUCCGGGGGUAGAGCACUGUUUCGGCAAGGGGGUCAUCCCGACUUACCAACCCGAUGCAAACUGCGAAUACCGGAGAAUGUUAUCACGGGAGACACACGGCGGGUGCUAACGUCCGUCGUGAAGAGGGAAACAACCCAGACCGCCAGCUAAGGUCCCAAAGUCAUGGUUAAGUGGGAAACGAUGUGGGAAGGCCCAGACAGCCAGGAUGUUGGCUUAGAAGCAGCCAUCAUUUAAAGAAAGCGUAAUAGCUCACUGGUCGAGUCGGCCUGCGCGGAAGAUGUAACGGGGCUAAACCAUGCACCGAAGCUGCGGCAGCGACACUAUGUGUUGUUGGGUAGGGGAGCGUUCUGUAAGCCUGUGAAGGUGUACUGUGAGGUAUGCUGGAGGUAUCAGAAGUGCGAAUGCUGACAUAAGUAACGAUAAAGCGGGUGAAAAGCCCGCUCGCCGGAAGACCAAGGGUUCCUGUCCAACGUUAAUCGGGGCAGGGUGAGUCGACCCCUAAGGCGAGGCCGAAAGGCGUAGUCGAUGGGAAACAGGUUAAUAUUCCUGUACUUGGUGUUACUGCGAAGGGGGGACGGAGAAGGCUAUGUUGGCCGGGCGACGGUUGUCCCGGUUUAAGCGUGUAGGCUGGUUUUCCAGGCAAAUCCGGAAAAUCAAGGCUGAGGCGUGAUGACGAGGCACUACGGUGCUGAAGCAACAAAUGCCCUGCUUCCAGGAAAAGCCUCUAAGCAUCAGGUAACAUCAAAUCGUACCCCAAACCGACACAGGUGGUCAGGUAGAGAAUACCAAGGCGCUUGAGAGAACUCGGGUGAAGGAACUAGGCAAAAUGGUGCCGUAACUUCGGGAGAAGGCACGCUGAUAUGUAGGUGAAGUCCCUCGCGGAUGGAGCUGAAAUCAGUCGAAGAUACCAGCUGGCUGCAACUGUUUAUUAAAAACACAGCACUGUGCAAACACGAAAGUGGACGUAUACGGUGUGACGCCUGCCCGGUGCCGGAAGGUUAAUUGAUGGGGUCAGCGCAAGCGAAGCUCUUGAUCGAAGCCCCGGUAAACGGCGGCCGUAACUAUAACGGUCCUAAGGUAGCGAAAUUCCUUGUCGGGUAAGUUCCGACCUGCACGAAUGGCGUAAUGAUGGCCAGGCUGUCUCCACCCGAGACUCAGUGAAAUUGAACUCGCUGUGAAGAUGCAGUGUACCCGCGGCAAGACGGAAAGACCCCGUGAACCUUUACUAUAGCUUGACACUGAACAUUGAGCCUUGAUGUGUAGGAUAGGUGGGAGGCUUUGAAGUGUGGACGCCAGUCUGCAUGGAGCCGACCUUGAAAUACCACCCUUUAAUGUUUGAUGUUCUAACGUUGACCCGUGAUCCGGGUUGCGGACAGUGUCUGGUGGGUAGUUUGACUGGGGCGGUCUCCUCCUAAAGAGUAACGGAGGAGCACGAAGGUUGGCUAAUCCUGGUCGGACAUCAGGAGGUUAGUGCAAUGGCAUAAGCCAGCUUGACUGCGAGCGUGACGGCGCGAGCAGGUGCGAAAGCAGGUCAUAGUGAUCCGGUGGUUCUGAAUGGAAGGGCCAUCGCUCAACGGAUAAAAGGUACUCCGGGGAUAACAGGCUGAUACCGCCCAAGAGUUCAUAUCGACGGCGGUGUUUGGCACCUCGAUGUCGGCUCAUCACAUCCUGGGGCUGAAGUAGGUCCCAAGGGUAUGGCUGUUCGCCAUUUAAAGUGGUACGCGAGCUGGGUUUAGAACGUCGUGAGACAGUUCGGUCCCUAUCUGCCGUGGGCGCUGGAGAACUGAGGGGGGCUGCUCCUAGUACGAGAGGACCGGAGUGGACGCAUCACUGGUGUUCGGGUUGUCAUGCCAAUGGCACUGCCCGGUAGCUAAAUGCGGAAGAGAUAAGUGCUGAAAGCAUCUAAGCACGAAACUUGCCCCGAGAUGAGUUCUCCCUGACUCCUUGAGAGUCCUGAAGGAACGUUGAAGACGACGACGUUGAUAGGCCGGGUGUGUAAGCGCAGCGAUGCGUUGAGCUAACCGGUACUAAUGAACCGUGAGGCUUAACCU